GGGUUGUGAGGUUAAGCGACUAAGCGUACACGGUGGAUGCCCUGGCAGUCAGAGGCGAUGAAGGGCGUGCUAAUCUGCGAUAAGCGCCGGUAAGGUGAUAUGAACCGUUAUAACCGGCGAUACCCGAAUGGGGAAACCCAGUGUGAUUCGUCACACUAUCAUUAACUGAAUCCAUAGGUUAAUGAGGCGAACCGGGGGAACUGAAACAUCUAAGUACCCCGAGGAAAAGAAAUCAACCGAGAUUCCCCCAGUAGCGGCGAGCGAACGGGGAGGAGCCCAGAGCCUGAAUCAGCAUGUGUGUUAGUGGAAGCGUCUGGAAAGGCGCGCGAUACAGGGUGACAGCCCCGUACACAAAAGCGCAUGUGCUGUGAGCUCGAUGAGUAGGGCGGGACACGUGGUAUCCUGUCUGAAUAUGGGGGGACCAUCCUCCAAGGCUAAAUACUCCUGACUGACCGAUAGUGAACCAGUACCGUGAGGGAAAGGCGAAAAGAACCCCGGCGAGGGGAGUGAAAAAGAACCUGAAACCGUGUACGUACAAGCAGUGGGAGCC
rnacentral:rRNA from 5 species